GCUAGGGCGAGGGAAUGAGGCCUGAGAUCCGGGGUGGAGCUGAGCAGGGAACAGUCACACUGAAGAGAGAAGAUAGAGGAGUUAGGGAGGUAGUGGAGGCAGCUCUGAAGUGGCCAGUUGUAAGAGUAGCAAUUCUUACUUGCAGUAGGGGACAUGGAGUGUUGAGAGGGGGGUGAUGAGAAUCCAGGGGAGGCUGAGUGGCGUGGAAAGGCUGGCCUGAGAUCCGGGGCUUCAGAUGGAGAAGGGCAGGCAGGUGAGUAGUGAUGUGACGUUCUGUAUCGAGGCUUCAAAGCCUGUGUCGAGUAAUGGAGGGGGCGUUUCCGCGAAGCGCGUAUCGAGGCUUGCUUCAUUUAUGGGAGGAGCUGAAAAUGAUGACGUCCGAAGCCUCGCUGCCCGGCUGUACCACGUGACUGGUUCAGGAAGCGGUUCGAACUUUGCUGCGAGAUAUGACAGCGAUAUAAACCCCCCAGACUUCAUUCAAAAUGCGGGUGUUUGAUGGAGAGUUGCGGUUAGUGAGAGUUACAGACAGUUUGGAGAGAGUUAGAGACAGUUUGGAGAGAGGUUGGAGGUUUAGGAGAGUGAGGAGAGAAAGUCAGGAGAGAAUGGAGCCAGCUACGAAGAGAAGGAUGUCCUCCCCUGUGUGGGAACAUUUUGAUCUUAUUCCUCCCAACAAGGUAUGUAAAGUUCCACAGAAGAUGUAUUUUCAUAAUACUGAUGGUGCAAUAAAACCUAUGUUAAGCUGUCUGUACUUUUGUACAAGGUGAAGUGUUUGCUAUGUGCCAGGGAGCUGGGAUAUAACAACAACACCUCAUCCAUGCUUAGUCACUACAGAGCUUUGCAUGAGAAUAAGGGGAACACCGAUUGUGGAGCAAGACCAGGAGAACAAUCUCAAAUAGAUGAAGACCUGGUUAGCAUGGUGAUUGAGGACUCCCAGCCAUUUAGCAUUGUGGAGGACAAAGGAUUCAAAAGAUUUGUUAAAUCAUUAAAUCCUAGCUAUGUUCUCCCCACUAAAAGGUCAUAAAAGCAGUGAAAAUUUAGUUUUUACAGAAUAAAAUGUGAACAGGCAGGACUGAGGCUCAAAGCCUCAGUGUGUAGCUGUCCAUACCUCAACGUUACAAAAGCACAACCACUGUCCACACCCCAACCACACCUCACCUCACAGUAAAUGAUCAUUUCCAUUUCAAGCAUUUCCAAAUGAUCAUUUUCCAUACUGCCAGUAUAAAUAUACACAGUAUACUGCAUCACUACAAUAUACAUGUUUUACACACUCCUUUUGUUGUUGACAUUUACAGGCUGUGUGCAAAAGGCCACACUCUUCAAAUUCAUGCCAACUACUAUUUUUACGUCCAGUAGGUGUCCUACUAGAGCAAAUGAAGCUUCAAGAAGCUUUGCACUGGAGUGAACCAAUUGGAUGAAAAGCUUCAGUGCUUCAUGAAGCUUCAUCUGCCCAUCACUACCGGUGAGGCACAGAGAGAUUUUCAGAAUGAUUGCUUGGUAUCCUGAGUCCGGAGGUGGAGCGUGAGCCAAGGUGAAUACAGCAACUGCAGCACAAGAGAGUCGUGUUAACAAGAUCGAUCACAGCAAGAACUUGAAGCAUAAGGCCUGUUACCAACAUGUGUUGAUGACGAACUGGCAGUGAAUGAACAUCAACGUGUGGUUUAAAUCCCUCAGGCUUGAUUGCCUGCAAUAGGCUCCAGUGUGCAGGAGCUGGCCCUGCCCAGGGGCGGAUCCCAGGCUGCAGGAAGCAGCCAGCUGAUGACAAACAGCCGCACUAGCCAGAGCCCAAGAAAACUGGAGAUCAAGCCAGCCACCCGAGAGGAAAGAGAGAGGGAAGGAGACACAGAGAGGAAGCAGAGGAAGGAAAGAAGGAGAACAAACC
ensembl:lncRNA